GCGGGCGUGUUGAAAUUGGUAGACAAGCCAGACUUAGGAUCUGGUGCCUUNNUUCGAGUCCCUUCGCCCGCACAA
rnacentral:tRNA from 1 species